UUUAGUUUGUAUGUGUAUGUGUAUAUAUGUAUGUAUAUUUGUGUGCAUCUAUUUGUAUAUCUGUAUCUAUAUCUAUAUAUAUCUUCAACUAAGAGGAAAAAAUCCAAGCCAAAGAUAAUCAUCAAUUUCCAUAUAGUGCCAUGCUACCAAUAACUUUUUUCAAAUAAUAUUUAUAGAAGGCAAUUUGUCAGUACCUAUUAAAUAUGAAAAUGUGUAUCUCUUCUGACCUCACAAUUCACUGUUCAGGAAUUUAAUCUGAAGAAAUACUUUUAAAAAUGUAUAAAGAUAUGUGUACAUAUUUAAUAUUCAUUGCAGUGUGUUGUCUUCUAAAAAAUAAAAUGAAACAUAUCUGUCAUUAUUUAAGUAGGUUUCAGUUUAUUCACUAAAUGCAAAGAGUGAGAUUAGGAUGUAUGGGCAUCAAAGCAUGUCCAUGAAAUAUUGGGUGAAACAAGGAAGUUUUAGAUUAAAAUAUAGCAGAUGAGCCAUAAAAAUACAUGAAUUUUGAUGUAAGAAUUUUCUUAGAAGCAUAAUUACUUUAUAUAUAUAUAUUUAAAACACUAAGAUAGUUCUAUCAUCAAGAUCACAAGACAAAAAAACUUUCAAGUCAACGAAUUUUAAUUUCCAUUUCCAGAGUUAAAGUCACAUACAUGGUGUACUCUAUUUUUUCUCUUUCUACUUCUCUCUCUCUCUCUCUCUCUUUUCUAAAGGAGAGAAAAUACAGAUCUUUUUUGCAUUGUGGCAUUUGGGAAAAAGUUAAGUCUCUGAGUAAUUCUGAACAUUUUAAUCUGUUGAUCUCACCAAAGGUCAUCAAUCAUUUUCUUAGAAAAAUAUAAGAAGUGAUUCUUGCCCAAUAGGCAUUCGUGAAUAUUAAAUGCCAUACAAUUUCUAAGUUGCUGAGACAAAGAACACAGAACAGAAAAAUAUUCUAUGGUUUUAUGUAGGCUAUUAGUGGAAUUAUUUUCUUAAGCCUAUAUUGGCUAAAACUGAUCAUUUAUCUUGGGUAAGUUCUAUUAGAAAUGUACUAACACAGAAAGUGCAGCCGUUUAGAACAUCUAAAAUGAUAACUUGUGAAACUGUAUUGCUCUAAAAAAGAAGAAGAUAAUUUAAAAUAUAUACCUUGAACAUUUUUCUCUUGAAGACUAUUAUUAGGCAUUUAAUCUUAGAUGCUAGGAGAUUAGAGCUUUUUAUAUCUUUUUGCCAAAUCUAUAUCUGUGAAAAUCUGAAUUUAGGCAUAUACCAUUAACAUAAAUUGAUAUUUUUAGACAAAGGUUGCGUUAUAACAAAUGUUUCCAACGCUAAGUAAGCCUCCAGAUAUUUUGCUGUUUAGUUUGAAUCUUAUGUUUGUGUUGUCACUGGAAAAAUACAUACCUGAAAUUUAGCAAGAAGUAUGUAAACAAUUGAUACUAUUAUUAGUGUGAUAUGAAUAAUAGCAUUGCUCCUUCUAUAAGAACUAAAUGCCCACAUUUAUCAGAGUUACUAAUAACAGCUAGAAUCACCUAAAGAGAUUAAACAACAGUAGAAAAAAUCCCUGCUCUCAAGGAUGUCAUAGUUUAGUGGGAGAAAACCAUUUCCAUUAAAACAGCACCCUACUUCAGUGCCUAGUAUAUGUGAGGUAUUACUAGGGGUAGCUUCAAAUUUGCCCAUUUGGUCUUCACAAUAACCUGCCUUUGGAGGGAGAUUUUCCUCCUCCAAGAAUGUGCUUGCUUUAUGGUCCUUGGAAACUCCUAUUCAUCCUUCAGAAUUUGUUGAGAUGGUUUCUUUAUGAAUUCUUCUGGCCAGGUGCUGUGGCUCUCUCCUGUAAUCUCAGCUACUGGGGAGGCUAAGGUGGGAGGAUCACUUGAGCUCAGGCAUUUGAGACCAGCCUGGGCCACAUAGCAAGACCCUGUCUCUAAAAACAUAAAAUAAAAUAAAUGAAUUCUACCUUGGCCUGCCUCCU
rnacentral:lncRNA from 13 species